CGUGAGGGAAAGGCGAAAAGAACCCCGGCGAGGGGAGUGAAAAAGAACCUGAAACCGUGUACGUACAAGCAGUGGGAGCCCCACCACUAAGCCAGUGGUGAACUCCACAUACGCAUCCUUUGCUGAGGAUACGGUUAACGGAGCGAAAGCGACGUUCAACCGCAAAACAAGCAGAGGGGGCUUAGUGGUGGGGUGACUGCGUACCUUUUGUAUAAUGGGUCAGCGACUUAUAUUCUGUAGCAAGGUUAACCGAAUAGGGGAGCCGUAGGGAAACCGAGUCUUAACCGGGCGUUAAGUUGCAGGGUAUAGACCCGAAACCCGGUGAUCUAGCCAUGGGCAGGUUGAAGGUUGGGUAACACUAACUGGAGGACCGAACCGACUAAUGUUGAAAAAUUAGCGGAUGACCUGUGGCUGGGGGUGAAAGGCCAAUCAAACCGGGAGAUAGCUGGUUCUCCCCGAAAGCUAUUUAGGUAGCGCCUCGUGAAUUCAUCUCCGGGGGUAGAGCACUGUUUCGGCUAGGGGGCCAUCCCGGCUUACCAACCCGAUGCAAACUGCGAAUACCGGAGAAUGUUAUCACGGGAGACACACGGCGGGUGCUAACGUCCGUCGUGAAGAGGGAAACAACCCAGACCGCCAGCUAAGGUCCCAAAGUCAUGGUUAAGUGGGAAACGAUGUGGGAAGGCCCAGACAGCCAGGAUGUUGGCUUAGAAGCAGCCAUCAUUUAAAGAAAGCGUAAUAGCUCACUGGUCGAGUCGGCCUGCGCGGAAGAUGUAACGGGGCUAAACCAUGCACCGAAGCUGCGGCAGCGAACGUAUCACUUAAAGCGAUUCAGCG
rnacentral:rRNA from 1 species